CCUACGGGUGGUAGCAGUGGGGAAUAUUGCACAAUGGGGGGAACCCUGAUGCAGCGACGCCGCGUGAGUGAAGACGUACCUCGGUAUGUAAAGCUCUAUCAGCAGGGAAGAAAAUGACGGUACCUGACUAAGAAGCUACGGCUAAUUACGUGCCAGCAGCCGCGGUAAUACGUAGGGGGCAAGCGUUAUACGGAUUUACUGGGUGUAAAGGGAGCGUAUGCGGUUAUGCAAGUCUGUAGUGAAAGCCCAAGGCUCAACCGUGGGACUGCUUUGGAGACUGUAAAACUGGAGUGCAGGAGAGGUAAGCGGAAUUCCUAGUGUAGCGGUGAAAUGCGUAGAUAUUAGGAAGAACACCAGUGGCGAAGGCAGCUUACUGGACUGUAACUGACGUUGAGGCUCGAAGGCGUGGGGAGCAAACAGGAUUAGAUACCCCAGUAGUC
rnacentral:rRNA from 1 species